AUGAAUAUUGAAAACGAUUUUUAACCAUGUGUAUGCCGUUGGUCAACGGGUCAUGGGAGCAGUUAAACCCGCGAACAUAAGAGGAUACCCUUAUGUAUAGGCAGAGAGUUGAUUAUCAGUAAUGAUAAUUAAUACGACCAGAUAAGCUGGUGAAUUAAUUGCUGCGCAAGUAAUAAUCGUGAACGCAAAAAGUCUAGUCACCUGGGGUGGAACAAUAGACGGCUCUGUGAGCAAGAAUCCAAGUUAGGGUUGGGGUGGAAGCCAAUCAGUCCUUGGAAAUCCAAUAAUCCACUCUGUAGUUGAAGCCGAGAAAUUGGCUAUAACCAGGGCAGCUAGGGCAAGUAGCCGAAGCUACAGCAUAUUGACUAAUUUAAUGGCUCGUGAAAGAGCGAAACGAAAAGAAAAUUUGCUGAAUGACUGGUGAAAGUUGGAGGUAAAGUCCUCCUGCGGAAAAUGGCUUUUAGCUGGGGUAAGAAGCAAUAGGGUAGCUCCCUAUUGUUCAGCCUUAUCUCCCGCAUGACUGAAUAUUGGGCGUUUAUUAUUUGUAGGGCGAAGGUCCAAAAAUGUUUUCUAUAUUCG
rnacentral:ncRNA from 1 species